AGUUCCAGAGAGCACGAGCUUGGAGAGGGGGAACAACAGGAGAAACUGCAUGAGGGCGAGGGGAAGAAGACAGAUUUUGAGGCGGUGGGGGGCUUAUAAUUACGCUGUGAGAUGGGAGUGGUUCAGAGCCAGGGGGCGGGGCUUCAGUGUGAGACCUGAGCCGGAGGUGUGGCUUAACCGGACGCCCAGAGCGUGUCGGGGGGUUCCCGGAGAAGAAGCGGGCACUCAGAGCGCAGGCGCACCUGGCUCUGCUCGCCCAUCGGAAGCGGCCCAGGUUUUCACCGCUCUCGUCCCCGAGUCAGUGCGCAAGCGCAUUUCCCCCAUCCUGGUCCCCGCCACCGCCUCCUCUUUCCGAUCCUCCACGCCGGCGCCUCGGGAACGGGAGCGGCUUCCGCUUCCGGGCGGGCGGGCAGGCGGGCGGCGCGGGGCUGCCGGGGAGGGGGGAGGGGGCGGCACUUCCGGUCGGGCCCUCGGGUCUCCCCGGAGCGGCGGCGCCUCCUCCGCCUCCUCGGCCUCCUCCCGGCGGAGACCCCGGCGCCGGGUCUCCCGUCUCCCACCCGCCGGAGAUGGAGGCGAACCCAGCGGGCAGCGGCGCCGGGGGUGGCGGGAGCAGCGGCAUCGGGGGCGAGGACGGGGUACACUUCCAGAGCUACCCCUUCGACUUCCUGGAAUUCCUCAACCACCAGCGCUUCGAGCCCAUGGAACUGUAUGGGGAACACGCCAAGGCGGUGGCAGCCCUGCCCUGCGCCCCCGGCCCCCCGCCGCAGCCCCCGCCGCAGCCCCCUCCCCCGCAGUAUGACUACCCGCCCCAGUCCACCUUCAAGCCCAAGGCGGAGGUGCCCUCCUCGUCCUCGUCCUCCUCCUCCUCGUCUUCGUCCUCCUCGUCGUCGUCGUCUUCGUCCUCUUCCUCUUCCCAAGCCAAGAAGCCCGAUCCGCCCCUGCCGCCCGCCUUCGGGGCGCCCCCUCCUCCCCUCUUUGACGCUGCUUUCCCCGCUCCGCAGUGGGGCAUCGUGGAUCUCUCGGGACACCAGCACUUGUUUGGGAACCUGAAGCGAGGAGGGCCCGCGUCCGGGCCGGGGGUGACGCCUGGGCUGGGCGCUCCCGCGGGGGCCCCGGGGCCGCUUCCUGCCCCCUCGCAGACCCCGCCAGGACCCCCCGCGGCGGCGGCCUGCGACCCCACCAAGGACGACAAGGGCUACUUCCGGAGGCUGAAGUACCUGAUGGAGCGGCGCUUCCCCUGCGGCGUGUGCCAGAAGUCCUUCAAGCAGUCCUCGCACCUGGUCCAGCACAUGCUGGUGCACUCGGGGGAGAGGCCCUACGAAUGCGGCGUCUGCGGCCGCACCUACAACCACGUGUCCAGCCUCAUCCGCCACCGCCGCUGCCACAAGGACGUGCCACCCGCCGCGGGGGGCCCGCCCCAGCCCGGCCCCCAGCGCCCGCCGCUGGGCCUCCCAGCACCCGCUGCCAGCGCUGCCACCGCCCCCGCCCCCUCCACGGUGUCCUCGGGCCCUCCGGCCACGCCCGCGGCGCCCGCCCCCUCCGCAGACGGGAGCACCGCCCCUGCUGGUGUUGGGGUGCCCCCUCCCGCCGCCGGGGGCGGCGACGGCCCGUUCGCCUGCCCACUCUGCUGGAAGGUUUUCAAGAAGCCCAGUCACCUCCACCAGCACCAGAUCAUCCACACGGGCGAGAAGCCCUUCUCCUGCUCCGUGUGCAGCAAGAGCUUCAACCGCAGGGAGAGCCUGAAGCGCCACGUGAAGACGCACUCGGCCGACCUUCUGCGCCUGCCCUGCGGUAUCUGCGGGAAGGCCUUCCGCGACGCCUCCUACCUCCUCAAGCACCAGGCGGCCCACGCAGGGGCGGGCGCCGGGGGGCCUCGGCCGGUGUACCCCUGCGACCUGUGCGGCAAGUCCUACUCAGCGCCGCAGAGCCUGCUCCGCCACAAGGCCGCCCACGCCCCGCCCGCCGCCGCUGCGGAGGCGCCCAAGGACGGGGCAGCCUCGGCCCCGCAGCCCCCGCCUACCUUCCCCCCGGGCCCGUACCUCCUGCCCCCCGACCCUCCCGCCACCGACAGCGAGAAGGCGGCGGCGGCCGCGGCGGCGGUGGUGUACGGCGCCGUGCCAGUCCCGCUCCUGGGCGCCCACCCGCUGCUGCUCGGCGGCGCAGGGACCAGCGGGGCGGGAGGCUCGGGCGCCAGCGUCCCGGGAAAGACGUUCUGCUGCGGCAUCUGCGGGCGUGGCUUCGGGCGCCGCGAGACCCUGAAGCGCCACGAGCGCAUCCACACGGGCGAGAAGCCCCACCAGUGCCCCGUGUGCGGGAAGCGCUUCCGCGAAUCCUUCCACUUGAGCAAGCACCACGUGGUGCACACGCGCGAGCGGCCCUACAAGUGCGAGCUCUGCGGCAAGGUCUUCGGCUACCCGCAGAGCCUCACCCGCCACCGACAGGUGCACCGGCUCCAGCUGCCCUGUGCCCUGGCCGGGGCCGCCGGCCUCCCCUCCAGCCAGGGCGCAUCCGGGGCCUGUGGGCCCGGGGCCUCAGGCACGUCCGCAGGGCCCACCGAUGGGCUGAGCUACGCCUGCUCGGACUGUGGCGAGCACUUCCCAGAUCUCUUUCACGUCAUGAGCCACAAGGAGGUCCACAUGGCAGAGAAGCCAUACGGCUGCGACGCCUGCGGCAAGACCUUCGGCUUCAUUGAGAACCUCAUGUGGCACAAGCUGGUCCACCAGGCCGCCCCCGAGCGCCUGCUCCCGAGCACGCCUGGCGGCCCGCAGCCCCCGGACGGCUCCAGCGGCACGGAUGCGGCCAGCGUGCUGGACAACGGGCUGGCGGGGGAGGUGGGAGCGGCCGUGGCGGCACUCGCAGGGGUGUCUGGGGGUGAGGACGCAGGCGGGGCGGCGGUGGCAGGGGCCGGCGGGGGUGCCAGUUCCGGCCCUGAGCGCUUCAGCUGUGCCACGUGCGGCCAGAGUUUCAAGCACUUCCUGGGCCUAGUGACUCACAAGUACGUGCACCUGGUGCGACGGACCCUGGGCUGCGGCCUCUGCGGCCAGAGCUUCGCGGGCGCCUACGACUUGCUCCUGCACCGCCGCAGCCAUCGGCAGAAGCGGGGUUUCCGCUGCCCGGUGUGCGGGAAGCGCUUCUGGGAGGCGGCCCUGCUGAUGCGCCACCAGCGCUGCCACACGGAACAGCGGCCGUACCGAUGUGGCGUGUGCGGCCGAGGCUUCCUGCGCUCCUGGUACCUGCGGCAGCACCGCGUGGUCCACACUGGCGAGCGGGCCUUCAAGUGCGGCGUGUGCGCCAAGCGCUUCGCGCAGUCGUCCAGCCUGGCAGAGCACCGGCGGCUGCACGCUGUGGCCCGGCCCCAGCGCUGCAGCGCCUGUGGCAAGACCUUCCGCUACCGCUCCAACCUGCUGGAGCACCAGCGGCUGCACCUGGGCGAGCGCGCCUACCGCUGCGAGCACUGCGGCAAGGGCUUCUUCUACCUGAGCUCCGUGCUGCGCCACCAGCGCGCCCACGAGCCGCCGCGGCCAGAGCUUCGCUGCCCCGCCUGCCUCAAGGCCUUCAAGGAUCCCGGCUACUUCCGUAAGCACCUGGCUGCCCACCAGGGCGGCCGGCCCUUCCGCUGCUCCUCCUGCGGCGAGGGCUUCGCCAACACCUACGGCCUCAAGAAACACCGCCUAGCGCACAAGGCCGAGAACCUCGGGGGGACUGGAGCAGGGGCGGGCACCUUGGCCGGAAAGGAUGCCUGACCGAGGGGUUCCCAUCCCACUCCCAUCAGAAGCCCCCUUCUGGACUCCCACCUCCCGGGACUGAUCAGACUCUCCCCCCUCCUCGCUGUUGCCCCAUCCCUCAGAACUUCAGACGGACUGGCGACCUUCAGGGCGCACGCCCGACAGGCUCAAGACUGAAUCACUCCCAUCCUCGACCUCUCUGCCCUCCCCUCAUCCCAUCAGACACUGAACCCAUCCUCCGUCCAGCCCUCGUUUGUGAGCCUCAUCAGCCCCCGCCCCAGCAGCGCUCUGCCCCCAGGACUUACUGAGGAUUUGCUGUAUUCCCAGCUUCAGUCUGAGCUGGGCAAAUGGAGAUGGACAAGACAGGUAAGUGUCUGCUCUCAGGAACUGACUUAACAUGCUCGGACUCUUCCCCUUCCUGAUGCUUUCAGCCUUCGUUCACUCUGCCACCACUUCUGGGGGCCUCCUGCCUGCCAAGCCCUGAGGUGGGUACUGGGGAAACAGAUGAACUGGACAUGCCCCUCGACCUCAAGUAACAUGAAAGAGAACUCUCAUCCGGCUGCUGCAGCUGCUUCACUACUAUGUGCAGACUAAUGGUCAUGAUACAUCUCCCUCUUAGCACUUACCCUCCAGGAUAAUGAUUGGGAGAUUCAAAAGCCCAUUCACAGCGCUCGUUGGUGCUGGAAACAGUGAGAUGUACGCCUGGCAAUGUGUGUUUAGUUAUCUCAUUUGUUAGAAGGGCCUGGGGUCCUGAAGAACAAAGGUGCUCCAGGACAUAUCGAAAAUCCACAGAAUUUGGACUCCAGGCCAGGCGUGGUGGUUUACGCCUGUAAUCCCAGCACUUUGGGAGGCCGAGGAGGGCAGAUCACUUGAAGUCAGGAGUUUGAGACCAGCCUGGCCAAAGUGGUGAAACUCCAUCUCUACUAAAAAUACAAAACUUAGCUAGGUGUGAUGGCAUGCGCCUGUAAUCCCAGUUA